GAUGAACGCUGGCGGCGUGCCUAACACAUGCAAGUCGAACGGGAAUCUUCGGAUUCUAGUGGCGGACGGGUGAGUAACGCGUAAGAAUCUAACUUCAGGACGGGGACAACAGUUGGAAACGACUGCUAAUACCCGAUGUGCCGCAAGGUGAAACCUAAUUGGCCUGGAGAAGAGCUUGCGUCUGAUUAGCUAGUUGGUGGGGUAAGGGCCUACCAAGGCGACGAUCAGUAGCUGGUCUGAGAGGAUGAGCAGCCACACUGGGACUGAGACACGGCCCAGACUCCUACGGGAGGCAGCAGUGGGGAAUUUUCCGCAAUGGGCGAAAGCCUGACGGAGCAACGCCGCGUGAGGGAGGAAGGUCUUUGGAUUGUAAACCUCUUUUCUCAAGGAAGAAGUUCUGACGGUACUUGAGGAAUCAGCCUCGGCUAACUCCGUGCCAGCAGCCGCGGUAAUACGGGGGAGGCAAGCGUUAUCCGGAAUUAUUGGGCGUAAAGCGUCCGCAGGUGGUCAGCCAAGUCUGCUGUCAAAUCAGGUUGCUUAACGACCUAAAGGCGGUGGAAACUGGCAGACUAGAGAGCAGUAGGGGUAGCAGGAAUUCCCAGUGUAGCGGUGAAAUGCGUAGAGAUUGGGAAGAACAUCGGUGGCGAAAGCGUGCUACUGGGCUGUAUCUGACACUCAGGGACGAAAGCUAGGGGAGCGA
rnacentral:rRNA from 1 species